rnacentral:lncRNA from 1 species
UUAACAUUUUCAUUGGAGGUUAAAAGCAGUUUAUGUAAUGUAUAGUUGAUGUGGCCAGUGGCCAAAUACUUAAAAUUGUGCUUUGCAUUUUACAGUCUCCAAAAUUUGUGAGCAUAAACUGGAACAAAUCUUUACUGCUGAAGGUCUCUUGCUUGACUUGUGUGAUAAACUAUGGGCAGCCAACAAUAUUUAAUCACCAAAAUUCCAUGUUAGCUUUUAUUUUUGAACAAUGCAUAGCAUGUGAAAAAUUUCCUAAUAACUCAAGAUUGAUACUCUUAAAAUUUAACAUGAGGUUUUAUCCCUGUUUGUGUUAUCUUGCAAUACUUUUUCAUAAUUAUGGCUAAUUUCAUUGGCAAAUGUAUUUAAAAUAAGGCAUUUAAAAAUCUCAUAGUUUAAAAAUCUCCCUAAUUUGAAAAACUCUAUGUUUGAACUUCUUACAUCAACAUUGUAAGCUCAGAUAAGGGGAAUUUUCUGUCCUCUAAUGAAAACAAUUCAGAUUUUGCUGUUGGAUGAGCAUGAUUUAGGAAACUCUCCUUCUCCUCUAGUGAAAAACUCAGGCAGUAUCUCACACUGGAAGCAAACUACCAGUACUUUGUUUCUAGCCUUAACUUUCCUUUCUACUCUGUAAAGUUGGAUGGUGUGCUUUCCAUUUUAUCAAGUAAAAAUACCACUAAGGCAAGAUUUGCCGUCUUUGUGACUCAUUGUAAUGUUAAGAAAGAAAACAUACCUGAGUUACUUGAAUUUGCUAUAUGCAAAUGUUAGUCUAACUUGGAAAUUUAUUUAUGAACUGAUAAAUAAAGAGUCAGGAAAAAUGACUUUUGUAACUUGGCUAGGCUUCGUCAGUUUUCCUGAGCUCCUAUAAUUAUAGUCUUGGCUACUUACUUCCGCAGGCGCUGCUAAAAGACUUGCUAUUACCAGGAAACCGCAUCUCACAUGGUCCAUACAGGGCAGUUUGCUGGAAUUAAACAACAAAUGGGAUUUCCUUUCCUACCAGCCCGAAGAUGAACUACCUUUGGGUCCUGAGCUCCUCUUAAAAUUAAAUUUCAUUUCUGGCCAGGUCUUGAUCAUUUUGCUUCUUGGAUUUAGGCUUGGGCACUUCAUUUCUCAUUCUGCUUCAGAGUCUACCCUAGCCCUUCUAAUCUGCAGGCUCAUUGCUAUAGACCUCAAAAAAACAGAGUGUCCUUUAUUAUAGGAUGGGAACACGCAUGAUAGGGGAGAUUCCUUAACAAUAAUAGAAUGCUCUCUGACAGACUUCUCAGGAUUCUCAUCACUUCAUUAUAUAAAGAGACUUAAGCAGUAGUCUUGUGCCCUGGCUUCAAAUGUGAUGCAGUUCUAUGGAUUUCCAUGUAGAAAUGGGACUCAGGAUUAUCCAACAAAUACAUAUAAAUUGGAUUUAAUAUGUCAUUCCUAAGAUUCAAUUCAUGCCUCAUAGAAUUUGCCAUACAAAAUAUUCUCGGCACCUCAAAUUAUUUUGAUAUUCUGAAAGUGGUUUUACGGCACAAAUUCUAUUUUCCUAUAAAUGGUUGAAUAAAUUCUACUUUACUAUAUUUUUAGUAUAUUUUUAGAUAUUUUUCUAAUAGCUAUCAUUGUGAAAUACUCAACUACUAAUUGUGAGAUAUAUAAUUAUUCUUAAUCUUGAUCCUAAAAAAUAACCAUUGUUAACCACUAGUUGAAUGGUAUUCCAGAUUUUUAUAUUUAUUUAAAAAUAUAUUUUGUGGAGUUCCCAUUGUGGCGCAGUGGAAAUGAAUCUGACCAGGAACCCUGAGGUUGUGGGUUUGAUCCCUGGCCUCACUCACUGGGUUAAAGAUCUGGUGUUGCAGUGAGCUGUGAUGUAGGUCGAAGACGUGGCUCAGAUCCUGCGUUGCUAUGGCUGUGGUGUAGGCUGGCAGCUGUAGCUCCGAUUAGACCCCUAGCCUGGGAGCCUCCAUAUGCUGUAAGUGCAGCCCUAAAAAGUAAAUAAAUAAGUAAAAAUAUUUUGUGACAGGAAAAUAUGCUAUGUGCAUCAGUAACCCUUAAUGCUACUUUUUAAAAUUCAAAGAUAUUGUAUCCUUUAUCUGAGUGUUUUUAACAUCUACUCUUUUUUAUUAUUCUUUUUCAACACCCCUCUCCUAUUUCUAAGUAUGUUUUUCUUCCUGUUGAAUUUUGCUUUUGGUUAUUUUUAACAGUUUUACUGAGGUAUAAUUUAUAUAACAUAAAAUUCACCGAUUUUUAAGUGCAUAAUUCAGUGAUAUUUUGUAAAGUUACAGGCUUGUGCAACCAUUACCAUAAUUCCAUUUUAGAGCAUUGCCAUCACCUCAAAGACAUCCCUCAUGUGCAGUCAGUUCUCAUUCUUGGCCUCAAUCCAGGCAACCACUGAUCUUCUGUUCAUUCCUAUAGACUUGCUGGCCCUUGUGAUGUUUGCGGCACUUCUUAAACAUGGGACUUGACAUUGUUCAGCAUUUUUAGAAAAUUAUUGAUUAAGAGACCUUCAGAUAGUGUUUCUGCUCCAUUUGACCUUUCCUGGUCUCCACAUACAUGCUGUUCCAUGUACCUCUUCCGUUCUUUAUAAUACUUUCUCUCCGCUCUACCCUUAAUAUAAUUUACCCUUUUCAGGUGUACUGAGCAUUCUUUUUCUCCUUCCUUGCAUCAUGAGCCUACUGAAAGCACUGAAACUCUCAAACUCUUAGCUGUCAUCUUUUUUUGCUGGACUUCUUGGCCUCUAGGCCCUAGGGAUUUACAAAUUCCAAAUUUCCAUUGAGGGAAAAGCGGAACCCCAGUCCUUAUCAACUUUGGAACUUUGACUCUCAAUGCUAACUUCCCAAGGAGCCAUGAAUUCUAAUUUUUGUCUUUCUAAUACCAUGUCACUGUCUAAAGUUCUUUUUUCCUUUUAGCUGCUAUUUGUAAAAAUGUAAUUCUCAGCUUCAUAAAGAAAAUGAAUAUAAGUAUUUUGGGUUUUAAUGCCCUGUAUCACAGCAACAAAGAUUGCAAUUUUCAGUUUAUAAAUAGAAUUACUAUAAUUGUUCCCACUAAAAACAAUUCUUUAUUUAUAUAUAUUCUUCAGGACACAUACAGGAGACAUGUAUCUGGCUGAAGUUUGCUAAUUUCUUCACUUUAUAGGAAACAUUCUGUCAACUUGAAAAAUAUUGGCUCUUGGAAAGUCUUCAAAGUUUGUCAAGUUCAUUGAUUUUUUGAAGUGUUUCAUUUAUCUUGGAAUCUUAUUUUAGGUACAAUAUAUUAUAUUCUAUGGUUGAAAAAUAUUUUUUAUUACUCUGUAUAGCAUUUUGCCUGCCAUAGAAGAUUUGUUCCUUUAUAAUUAGUUUCUUUAUAUCCCUCACCACAUUUUUUCAGUAGAUUUCUAGUGGAGGAAAUCUUCCCACUUCUCAGAAAGGAUUUAAUCAGUUGUUAUUUUAAAUUAAAAAAAAAAUCCCUUGGCUAGAUUAAUUGAUAGAAAUGGCAUUCCUGUGUGGCUCAUGGGUUAAGAACCUGACAUCGUGUCCAUGAGGAUACAGGUUUGAUCUCUGGCCUUGCUCAGUGGGCUAAGGAUCUGGCAUUGUCACAAGCUGUGGUGUAGGUCGCAGAUGUGGCUCAGUUCCAGUGUUGCUGUGGCUGUGGUGAAGGCUGGCAGCUGCAGCUUUGAUUCAGCCCCUAGCCUGGGAACUU